rnacentral:rRNA from 1 species
UACAGAGGUCUCGAGCGUUAGGCGGAAUCACUGGGCUUAAAGCGUGUGUAGGUGGAUGCCUAAGUACCUUGUGAAAUCCCACGGCUCAACCGUGGAACUGCCUCGGAUACUGGCGGCCUCGAGGGAGGUAGGGGCGUGCGGAACUGUGGGUGGAGCGGUGAAAUGCGUUGAUAUCCACAGGAACUCCGGUGGCGAAGGCGGCACGCUGGACCUUUUCUGACGCUGAGGCGCGAAAGCCAGGGGAGCAAACAGG